rnacentral:piRNA from 1 species
UGAAAGAGAUUGAAGCACCAC